AGUUCAUAUUUUCAUCUCCCCUCUCGGCUCUUUCUCUCCAAAAACCGAGCACGAAUUUGGAUUCAAUAUUUGGACCAUCAAAAGUUUGAUUUGUUCCAUAGAUCUUGAAGAGCCAGGUAUACUCUUUCACAUAUUAGUUUUUGACUCAUUGAUUUGACCUAUAUUACACGUAUGUUGUAGACUUAGAUAAACCAUUUAUAGUUUUUUGAAUGGAUGAUUAAUAUUUUUCUUAUGCAAUCGUAGAAUGCCACGUCGUGGAAAAAGUAGCAAACCAAGCUAUGGCCGGACGACCGGUAGUCCGUACAUCCACAAGCCGCUUCCUAGCGGUGUUCCAGUACCUAUGUGCUUUUGUAGUGAUCCUUGCAAGGUAGAAAUUUCGGAAGACGAGGAAACCGGCAGAGGUAUUGGAUGUGUUCGAAUUUUGCCUGGGAGCCUACGCCAAAACAACGCCGCAGUAACUUUAUUACCCCUCCACCAUUGUGUGAUUUUGAGCAGUGGAUCGACACUGAGGUUAAGGAGUCCGACAAGCGGCUUCUACAAGGCCUAAAGGAGUGGGAUGCAGAGCGUGCAGAGAUAUUAGAGAAGAGACGUAGAGAGGAGGCUCAAAAGAGGGAGCACAAGGAAGAGGAGGAAAGAAGACGUGUUGCUGCGGCUCGGGAGGAGAG